GUUUGUUUCUGACCUAGACGGAGGCAAACCAACCCCAGUGCGAGCCAGCUCUGAGGACUGACUGAAUUAAAAGGAGGGAAGCCAAACAAGGGGAAUGGGAGGAGCUUUAUGGGCCUCGGGAAGUGUUGGUCCGCAAAUGCAGCACGAGCGUUGGACACAAUUCCUGCCUUUUUGGAUAAAAAGUGUGUCUGUCAUCCUACUCCAGAAGACAAAGAGGAGGUCACAUCAAGAGGAACAUGAAACCAAAAAACAAAAACAAAAAAAAGUGUGUCUAUCAAGUGUUCAAGCCAAAAAUGACCGGCUUUCAUGAAACGGGCCAAAUGGAGUCCCGGGCGAAACAGUCUCCCCCACGGCCAUAGCAGGGCUCUGACAGGUAUCAUAAGUCAAAUGCAGAGGAUCUGAAAACCUGGCCAUCUGAAAAUCCUUUGGAAUUACAGAUGAAGCAGUCUGGAAAAAGCAGUAAUAUCUCUAAUUGCUAAUGGAUGUGCUGAGUUGAUUCUACCUCGUGAUCUCAUUUGGAACUUGUCCCAGUCAGAAAUCAUCCUCCCCAUUUGAUAGAUGGAGAGACAGAGGCUCAGAGAGGUUUUAGAGCUAGGCUGUGCCUCCCCACCUACAGGGCAUGCAGUCUCUGGUCACAUACCUCCGGGGGCAGGAAGAGCAUUGUCUAUGGAGAGAGCCCACUCCAUUUUUGCUGAUGCCUGUUUCCCAGAGCAGGCUCAGGCUCAGGCCCUGUUUUCUGGGUGGGGACUUCGGAGACCCAGAGAGAAUGAGACCCAUUGCCUUGUCAGUCCUGCUCUAGGGUCCAGGAAUGUCAGCACUGGCUUGACCACCCUCUUCUGUGAACUGCUGGGGAAACUGAGGUCUGGUGGGUAGGGAUUCACCCACAUUACACUGAUCUGGCUUCUGCUGUGGGAUUAUGUCAUUGUCUCAGGAUGAGCUUGGAGGCAACUGUGCAUCUUUGGUCUUCUGCCUUUGCUUGGAACUCACUCCAGGGCCUGGCAUUGCUAAGUUCUGGGGAAGGGGUGGCUGAAAUAAUAACUAAAUAUGAGGGGGAAGAAAAUAACUUUGGUUGGGCUGCGGCUGGGGUGUAGCAUCAGGUGGGGUAUUAAGGCUUGAGGGUGAGGUUUGAAUGUAGGUCUGGAUAAUGUUUGCAGUCCAGGUGAGCAAGGAGAGCUGAGGUGGGCUUGCAGGGAGGACCGAGGGGGAGGUUGGGGCUGGUGAGAGAGUAAGGGCCGGGAGCAGCACUGGGGAGUGGGUAAGGUCAGGGAUGAGGUCGCUACUGGAAAGGGGCCCUGGAGAACACUCUCACAAGGGAGGAGUUCCGGAGUCCUGCGAAUGUUACAAGAUGGGAGUUUGCUGUGAGGGUGGGGGUGGUUAUGCAAUCUGAGGUUGGGUUAGGGUGAGUGAAGGUUUUUCAGGGUGGAGUUGGGGUGAGGGUCAAGGAUGGAUUUGAAUAAUGGUUGGGUCAGGAUGGGGGACUGGAGCUGCGAAGCGGCAGCCGCAGAGCCGGUUGGUGGCCGGCCGCCAGAGCCCGGGCGGGUCAAGGCUGGGCGGGGGUCGCUGCUGACAUUGGCCGGGCACCUGGGGGAGGACUGAGGGUUCAGUACCGGGUCGGGCCGAGGAUGGGGCGAGGGGCCUAAGACGGAGUGGGGUUCCAGGUGGGGUGAGGGCCAGGGCCGGUACCUGAGCCACCACAUGUAGCUGUGCUCGUAGGGGAAGAAGCUGUGCGGAUCGUCGCAGCAGUACUUGUGGUCGCGGAAGCCGCAGCAGAAGACGGCGGCCGCUUCGCCCCCCGGCCGCGGG